rnacentral:rRNA from 1 species
UACAGAGUGUGCGAGCGUUAUUGGGAAUUAUUGGGCGUAAAGAGCGCGUAGGCGGUCUGAUAAGUCUGGUGUGAAAUCCCUGGACUCAAUUCAGGAAGCGCAUUGGAUACUGUCAGACUCGAGUACAGGAGAGGUGAGCGGAAUUCCCGGUGUAGAGGUGAAAUUCGUAGAUAUCGGGAGGAACAACAGUGGCGAAGGCGGCUCACUGGACUGUAACUGACGCUGAGGAGCGAAAGCGUGGGGAGCAAACAGG